rnacentral:rRNA from 1 species
UAUCUCUGUAGAGUCUGCAUAUCAAUAAGCGGAGGAAAAGAAACUAACUAGGAUUCCCUCAGUAACGGCGAGUGAAGCGGGAAGAGCUCAAAUUUGAAAUCUUCAAGGUUCUACCUUGACGAAUUGUAGUUUAAAGAAGUGUUUUCUGUUAGAGUUCGAGUAGCAAAAGUUCUUUGGAAUAGGGACAUCAUAGAGGGUGAGAAUCCCGUAUUUGACCGUUAUUCAUUCUAGCUUGUGCGAUACACUUUCAAAGAGUCGGAUUGUUUGGGAAUGCAGUCCAAAAUGGGUGGUAAAUUUCAUCUAAAGCUAAAUAUUGGCGAGAGACCGAUAGCGAACAAGUACCGUGAGGGAAAGAUGAAAAGAACUUUGAAAAGAGAGUUAAACAGUACGUGAAAUUGUCAAAAGGGAAGCGUUUGACACCAGUGUUGUUUUUCUCAAAAAUCAAUUAAGAAUGGCAUGAUUUUGUGUUGUAUUGACCUUUAUCAGCUUUCUGCACUCUUUUCUUGAGUCUUUUUUAAUGCACUUUUCGGUUAACAAGUCAACAUCAAUUUCUUCUGUUGUAAAAGAGUCAUUGGAAGGUGGCUUUCACUUCGGUGAAAGUGUUUAUAGCCUUUGGCCUCUGCAAUCGGAGAGAUUGAGGUCUGCAGCGUAGAUCCUUCGGGGUUAGAUACAGUUAGAUGCUAAGUUAUAGCCUUUUCAUAGACAACUUGUUGACUAUGAUCAGUCAUGUAGCUUACUCGCUUAUGCUAUUUUACCUACGCUUAGGAUGUUGACGAGACUGUCGAUCUC